GGAGAAGGCCUGGGGUUAGAUUCAAGAAUGUCAUAUUUAAGGCUAACUCUGCCACCAUUCCUUCUUAGGCAAGGCACUUAACCUCCCUGUCCUAAGUUUCUGUACCUCUAAAGCGCCUUGUACUACUAGUUCAGAACCAUAGCUGUCACUGUGGUGCUACUCUUACUGUUACUGUUACCGGUGGCAGAGACCCGAAUCACCCUGAGUAACCAGCGGCAGAUUCGUACCAGUCGGCAGCAACUUAAAUUCUUGCCUUCUCGGAAGAAAGAAUUUGACUGAGGUGCAUAAAGCAGAAAAAGAGACCGAGAUCAAACAUCAAACUGCCAAAGACAGAAAAUUAUUUACUGAUGUACAUUAUUUGACAAACUAUUCAAAGGAAUGACCCCACUAUUUAUGCAGUUUUAAGCAGAGAAGGAGAGUCUCCAGGAACUAUACGAAUUAAUCAACUUGAGCAAUCAGCCUGUUUUACAGCCUCCUGCCUUGGAGACUACUUUUUCCAAAACUCUAUGUGGGAUGUGGUCACCUAGUUGGUUGGAACCAGCUCCUGACAGACCCCAGCAACUGACAGAUGAACCUGAGUGAACUUUCCUCAUUAUCAUGCUAAAGUCUCCAUCCCGAAAGGAACUAUAGCUUCAUUACCAGAACAUGCAACCUUUGUGCUGGCAUAAAGGCUCACUGCGUCUAAAGCAACUGGGACCCGUCCCGUACAUGUGAUGAUGCACACUCUCCUCUCUCCAUAGCGCCAUAAACUCUCUCAGGGAGACACUGCUUUGAGGAAUGCUUCCUUACUUGUGCUAAGUAAUAAAACUCCUAUUGAUUAAAAUUUACAUUCUUGUGGAUUCGUUUGUUACUGGACAAGUGAGUGAAUUCAUUUUUUUUCAGGUUAGUCAUCAAAAUAAACUUUGUGGAUAUGAUUGUACAUUACUUAUUCUUUUAUUCUCAUACCUCCAUUUAUAUUCAUGUUCUGUUAAUUCUACAUUCCUAAAGAAUUAAACUUUCUCUUCCAAAAGAUCUAUUAUGGCCUUUAUACAAUGUCUUUAUAAUUUUCUAUGAGAACUAUUGAAGUAGCUGCCUAAUUAAUAUCUCCGUCUUAGGUUUGUAACCUUUUUGUUCAUUUUCUAGUCUUCUAUCAAAGUAAUCUUUCUCAAAUAUAAAUCUGGUCAUAUUUGUUCCAUGCUUACAUCUCUUUGAUUACUUCCCAUUAUCUACUAAAAAAUGUUCAAAUGUCUGGCUCGAGAAACAUGAUCUUCUUGAUGAUUUUGCUGGCUUUUUCAUCUUCAUUUUCUACUUGUGACCCCUUGAAUCCAACAAACCAGUUAUAAUAAAGCAUGCUUUUCUUCAUCAUUUGCUACCUUUUCAUGGAAUAUCUUAUCCUUUGCCCUCCAUUUCCCUUAUAUCUUCUCUUUGUAGAUCAAGUUCAAGCAAUAUGUUCUCUGUGAAGUUUUUCCUGACUAGUCCUAAUGCAACUACCUCUCAAAGUUAUGUUAAUAGCAGACCUUCCCUUUACAUAACUCCAUGCUAUACAGACCUCUCUUAUAUUACCUACAGUAUAUUUCCAUGUUUUUUUAUCUUGCUAGCCUGUAAGACCUCUAAGGCUAUUACUCAUUUUUGUAAUAUCAAAAGUACAAGUUAUAUAUGGUAUGUAAUGAGUGAUUAAAACAUUUGUUGAACGAUUUUACAUGUGUGUCUAAAAUGCAGCGUUGGUUCCUGGACAUUUCGAAUACUCA
rnacentral:lncRNA from 1 species